rnacentral:rRNA from 1 species
CCUACGGGCGGCAGCAGUAGGGAAUAUUGCUCAAUGGGGGAAACCCUGAUGCAGCAACGCCGCGUGGAGGAUGAAGGUUUUCGGAUUGUAAACUCCUUUUCUUAGAGGAGAUAAUUACGGUAUCUGACGCAUAAGCGCCGGCUAACUCCGUGCCAGCAGCCGCGGUAAUACGGAGGGUGCAAGCGUUAGCCGUAUUCACUGGGCGUAAAGAGCACGUAGGCGGGUGAGUAAGUCAGAUGUGAAAUCCUAGGGCUCAACCAUAGAACUGCAUUUGAAACUGUUAGUCUAGAGUAAGGGAGAGGUAGGCGGAAUUCUUGGUGUAGCGGUAAAAUGCGUAGAGAUCGAGAGGAAUACUCGUUGCGAAGGCGGCCUGCUAGACAUUAACUGACGCUGAGGCACGAAAGCGUGGGGAGCAAACAGGAUUAGAUACCCCAGUAGUC